GCAAGUCGAACGGUAGAGGGGGCAACCCCUUGAGAGUGGCGAACGGGUGAGUAAUAUAUCGGAACGUGCCCAGUCGUGGGGGAUAACGUAGUGAAAAUUACGCUAAUACCGCAUACGAUCUAAGGAUGAAAGCGGGGGAUCGCAAGACCUCGCGCGACUGGAGCGGCCGAUAUCAGAUUAGGUAGUUGGUAGGGUAAAGGCCUACCAAGCCAACGAUCUGUAGCUGGUCUGAGAGGACGACCAGCCACACUGGAACUGAGACACGGUCCAGACUCCUACGGGAGGCAGCAGUGGGGAAUUUUGGACAAUGGGCGAAAGCCUGAUCCAGCCAUUCCGCGUGCAGGAUGAAGGCCCUCGGGU
rnacentral:rRNA from 1 species